rnacentral:rRNA from 1 species
GACGAACGCUGGCGGCAUGCUUAACACAUGCAAGUCGAACGAGAAUCUGUGGAUCGAGGAUUCGUCCAAGAGAAGCAGAGGACAGUGGCGGACGGGUGAGUAACGCGUGAGGAACCUGCCUUCCAGAGGGGGACAACAGUUGGAAACGACUGCUAAUACCGCAUAACGCGUAGAGGUCGCAUGGCCUUUACGCCAAAGAUUUAUCGCUGAAAGAUGGCCUCGCGUCUGAUUAGCUAGUUGGUGAGGUAACGGCCCACCAAGGCGACGAUCAGUAGCCGGACUGAGAGGUUGAACGGCCACAUUGGGACUGAGAUACGGCCCAGACUCCUACGGGAGGCAGCAGUGGGGAAUAUUGGGCAAUGGGGGAAACCCUGACCCAGCAACGCCGCGUGAAGGAAGAAGGCCU